CCUACGGGUGGCAGCAGUGGGGAAUAUUGCACAAUGGGGGAAACCCUGAUGCAGCGACGCCGCGUGAGUGAAGAAGUAUUUCGGUUUGUAAAGCUCUAUCAGCAGGGAAGAAAAUGACGGUAUCUGAUUAAGAAUCCCUGGCUAACUACGUCCCAGCAGCCGCGGUAUUACGUAGGGGGCAAGCGUUAUACGGUGUUACUGGGUGUAAAGGUAGCCGAGACGGCAGGACAAGUCUGGAGUGAAAUGCCGGGGCUUAACCCCGGAACUGCAUUGGAAACUGGGCAGCUAGAGUGCAGGAGAGGUAAGUGGAAUUACUGGUGUAGCGGUGAAAUGCGUAGAUAUUAGGAGGAACACCAGUGGCGAAGGCGGCUUACUGGACUGUAACUGACGUUGAGGCGCGAAAGCGUGGGGAGCAAACAGGAUUAGAUACCCGAGUAGUC
rnacentral:rRNA from 1 species